UUGUUUGAAAGCGAAAUAAUCGCGCUAAGUUUCGGCCUUAGUCUUGGGAUUUCCCUCAAAUAU
rnacentral:tRNA from 1 species